CCUACGGGGGGCUGCAGGAGGGAGUAUUGGUAAUGUGGGAAACCGCGAACCAGCAACGCCGCGUGAGCGCUGACGGCCUUCGGGUUGUAAAGCUCUUUUCAUCGGGACGAGGAAGGACGGUACCGGUGGAAUAAGCCUCGGCUAACUACGUGCCAGCAGCCGCGGUAAAACGUAGGAGGCGAGCGUUAUCCGGAUUUACUGGGUGUAAAGCGCAUGCAGGCGGUUCACUAAGUUGGGUGUGAAAGCUCCGGGCUAAACUGGGAGAGGUCGCUCAAGACUGGUGAACUAGAGAGUGGUAGGGGAAGGUGGAAUUCCGGGUGUAGUGGUGAAAUGCGUAGAUAUCCGGAGGAACACCAGUGGCGAAGGCGGCCUUCUAGGCCACUUCUGACGCUCAGAUGCGACAGCUAGGGUAGCAAACGGGAUUAGAUACCCGAGUAGUC
rnacentral:rRNA from 1 species